rnacentral:rRNA from 1 species
CGUAGGUGCAAGCGUUAAUCGGAAUUACUGGGCGUAAAGCGUGCGCAGGCGGUUUGUAAGUCAGAUGUGAAAUCCCCGAGCUCAACUUGGGAACUGCGUUUGAAACUACAAGACUAGAAUAUGUCAGAGGGGGGUAGAAUUCCACGUGUAGCAGUGAAAUGCGUAGAGAUGUGGAGGAAUACCAAUGGCGAAGGCAGCCCCCCUGGGAUAAUAUUGACGCUCAUGCGCGAAAGCGUGGGGAGCAAACAGGAUUAGAUACCCUGGUAGUCCACGCCCUAAACGAUGUCUACUAGUUGUUGGUGGAGUAAAAUCCAUGAGUAACGCAGCUAACGCGUGAAGUAGACCGCCUGGGGAGUACGGUCGCAAGAUUA